ACCCCAUUUUUCUAAGUUUUGGAAAAAAAAUAAAAAUUCCAUUCAAUCCUUUUUUUAUAAUCGCCGAUCGAACUUUACUUCAAUCAUAUUAAAAAAAUCCGGAAAUGACCGUACAUUGUUUGAAUUUUACUUAGUUGUGAUCAGAAUCAUGUAAACGCUUCCACUAUUGACCCUUUAAAAAAAAAAACUCUGCAAGCGUUUUGUAGUCAGAGAUGAAAUAAGUAUGACGGCCAUGUGAAACAUUUUAGGUUUUUCAAAACAGAAUAUAAAUGUUUUAAGGACAGUAGUAAAUGUACGACGGUUUUUAUGAGCUGAUCAGGCUGGUGAUUAUUCUAUAAUGAUGUUAUCUGAUCAGCGAAUGGAGUGUGGUGGUUGAGGAAAUUACAGCCAAAACCAACGAAUCUGAUGUCAUCACUUGCGCUCCAUCCGACACCCAUAAUUUUUCUUUGAGGGUUUGGAGAAUUUUUAAACAGUUAUAUCUAAUGAUUUGGAAAAGGAAAAGACUCAUCAGGAUGUUCUAAGACAAAAAAUGUUUGUAUGAGAGUCAUAGGAAUGUGAAACCCUAUGGGGAUGACUUAUCAUUCUGGGGGUUGUGUAAAAUUUGCUGAAGUGUGUUUUUCUGUGGCAAUGUGGACGUAGCAGUGAGAGGACACCCGUAUCCAGUCAUAGACAUACACAGAAAGUUUAGCAUUGUUCACAUAAUAUGUCUCUCUGCUCGGAGAAUCAUUCUCUUUUAGUGAGGAAUGCCAAGAAAGACAUUUCUGUGCAAUGUUCUGAGGUUGAUUUCCCCAACUGCUUUGAUAUGC